UACGUAGGGUGCGAGCGUUGUCCGGAAUCAUUGGGCGUAAAGCGCUCGUAGGCGGGAUGUCAAGUUCGCGAAGAAAGACUCGGGCUCAACUCGAGGAACGGCGCGAAUACUGAUGUUCUUGAGGCAUUCAGAGGGUGAUGGAAUUCCCGGUGUAGCGGUGAAAUGCGUAGAUAUCAGGAGGAACACCGGUGGUGUAGACGGCUUUCUGGACCGUAACUGACGCUGAGACACGAAAGCGUGGGUAGCAAACAGG
rnacentral:rRNA from 1 species